AUGUUUUUUGGGAGUUGUUGGGACCAGUACCGGUACUGGGAUUUUGCAGUACCGGUACAUGGGUUAAAAAUCAGCAUUUUUAAAGAAAUUUCAAAUGGGCUUAACUUUUUCAUCCAAACUCCGUUUUGGGCAAAUUUUAUAUCAAAAUUGAUGUACUCAAAAUGUACUUUCCAUUGGUGGUGGUCUCAUGAUCUAAUUCUAAGCCAAUUAAAAAUUAUAGCCAGAGGCAGGCUGGUCAUAAGUUUACAAACUGAUUUCAAGAGUUAUUUCAUAUUUGAACUUUAUACUUGUUUUGGGACACUUCUUGGUGUUGACUUGGACAUAUUAAUAUUCGUUGGUCAUCGUUUAGCUUCUUGUUAGCUUUAUAACUUUGUGCUGAGUGUUCUUUGAAUUCGUAACUAAUAUGAGUUAACUUGUGGCUAGGUAAAGAGCCGGUUAUUCGGGAGGUGCCGAAACCUUAGUUUGGCAUACUUCUGUCGACAUAAAGGCCACAAGUGGUCGUAGAGUUGGUUCACUACCGGUCGACGUUUUGAGAACACUUGGAUUUGUAUCGAGUGUUGGUGUCUGUGGUUGUGUUGGUUGUAAUGGGUCAAACUCUUACUUUUGCUAAACUCAUUUUGUGACUAAUGUUGUCAAGUACUUUUUGACUUCAAGUUUGUAAAUAUGUAGGGUAUCGUUUGUGCAAUGCAAGUUUGUAAUUAUCAUAGACAUUUUGUUAUAUUAAUGUUAAGUCUUCCGCUGGGGUUU